CCCACCCCUCUCUCAUCUUCUAAAAAAAAUUCUCACCCUCCUCUUCUCCUCCUCGAGUGGCGGCUAGGGUUAUCGCUGCCGCUGCCGCUGCCGCCGUCGCCCCACUUUUUAUCUCAUGUGCUUCGGCGAGGUGGGUCAAGCUAGCGCACGCGCAAAGAGUUGCUCCGGCGCGGGCGCCGCUGAGGUGGAGGUGGAGCUACGGCGGCUGGUGGUGGACGGUCGUCACGUCGAUGUUAACUUCGACGAGUUCCAUCACCUCCACUACUACCUCAGGUUCCUUGCUUGCUCGCCGUUGGGUCCGAUCGAGGCUCAGUCCUCACCCUUGUGGCCAUAUCCCUCUCUAUCGGAACCAACGGCCAAAUCGGGCUUGUCGUUCGGCGGAGGCAGGGUCAAGGAGGAGGAGGCAGUGAACGGAGAAGGAAGGAGGCGCUGGGGUGCCAGCGGAUGUUCACCUGCCACCUUGCUUGUUGUUCGCUAGGGCAGUAGGCCUGCGGGGAUGACAUGGGAGCCUCCUGAGGUGUCAAAAGUCACAGCACCGUAUUCCUCCCAUGUUUUUGGUGGAUGGACUACAGCCCCAUGGUGUUAAGGAAAAAUUGGUUCAUUGACAAGAUCAAAAGGGAAAGGAGGUAGUACAUUCAGGCACUGAAAGCUUUACGAAGCCAUUUUAUGUCAUUCAUAUUUUUCUGCGCAAUGUAACUUGAAAUUUUAAUAGUGAGGAAUAUUGUCCGGUUGAAGGUGUUUCCACAUAGUUUUUAGAUCAUUGCAUAUAUUUUAACUUUAGGUGCAGCUAAAGCUUUUAGAUCAUUACAUCUUGCUGCAGAGUAGGCAUAGUGGACAUUGAUGGCAAGCACAUGCAUCAUUGGUAACAAUGAUUUCACAAUGUAACUUACAUGGGCCUCAUUUAGUGACAUAGUGCACAUUGAUUAAUGAUUAGAGAUUUUUUUAUCAUGCCACACUUUCAUCAGCCUACAUAGUUGUGUUUAAUAAUCCACCUGAUACUAAUUUGCAUUCGCGUGUGUCUGUACUGGGCCAGUGGCAUCUUAGACAAGGAAAAAAGUCCAUCGACGAGGAAUGGCGAAAAUAUUGGUCAUAUGUAUUGAGGUUUAGCUUCCAUGGCUGUCUAAUUUUUAUACUUUGUAGCUAUUUCUUCAUCUUAAUGCUUCCAUGACUCGUGUGGGCUAGAAUGUACAGAAUGGCCCGUCUGUGAUUGCAUGAUCUAGGUAUUCUGGACUGACUACUCACAAGGCUUGAUGAAAGAAUAUUUAAAAAUGAAGUUAUUGCUGGAACUAAUAAAGGUCAGUGUAUUUGUAUCCCUAGGAUUGCCUGAAUGCACCAAGUACCAAAUGGCGGUUUACUCUUCGCUGUUGCCAAUUUUCUGUUUGUUUGUGUUAUGGGAUGACUAUCAAUAAGAGUCAAGAGCAAGCAAUUUCCAAACUGCGUGUUUAUUUCAGAACCGGGUGUUUUCUCAUGGGCAAUUAUAUGUUGAUGUUUUGCAAGUUUCAUCCCUGAAAGGACUGGAAAUUCUAGCAGAAGAUGAUCCGUGGUGUUCCAACAAAUACUACUACAAUUAUUGUCUGCAAAGAAAUCAUCCGUGCUUUACAAGCAAGUGUUAUAAUUUCUUCUAUUGGCACAUAUUUUUUCCCUGCCACAUUUUUUUCUCUGGUUCCUGUAUUGAAUUACUGAUACAGUGUCGUUGUGGAUGUUUGACGAAGCAGCGCCAACUAUGAGAUAGUUAUUUUGAUGGUCA